CCUACGGGAGGCAGCAGUGAGGAAUAUUGGUCAAUGGGCGCGAGCCUGAACCAGCCAAGUCGCGUGAGGGAGGACGGCCCUACGGGUUGUAAACCUCUUUUGCCGGGGAGCAACGGGCGUCACGUGUGGCGCCACUGAGAGUCCCCGGAGAAAAAGCAUCGGCUAACCCCUUGCCAGCAGCCGCGGUAAUACGGAGGAUGCGAGCGUUAUCCGGUUUUAUUGGGUUUAAGGGGUGCGUAGGCGGAUCGUUAAGCCAGUGGUAAAAUUGAGGGGCUCAACCCCUUCCCGCCAUUGAAACUGGCGCUCUUGAGUGGAAGAGAGGUAUGUGGAAUGCGUGGUGUAGCGGUGAAAUGCAUAGAUAUCACGCAGAACCCCGAUUGCGAAGGCAGCAUGCCGGCUUCCGACUGACGCUGAGGCACGAAAGCGUGGGGAUCGAACAGGAUUAGAUACCCCUGUAGUC
rnacentral:rRNA from 1 species